rnacentral:lncRNA from 1 species
CUUCAUUCCACACUAAGGCUCCAGGCCAUCACCUUUCUUCUGCCAUAUUGUCCCCAAGCACCUCUGGUUAGAAAUUUUGGAGGAAGCCUGACUGGAAUUCAGACAAUCUUAUUGGGACUUUGAGAUUUAUGUACUUGGAUAAUUAGCAUACCAUCUCCACCAUUCAACCUGAUAUAUUGUUUUGAUGUUUUCACUUGGAUACAUAUAUAGAUAUCUUUUCACAGGCUAAAGUUUUUUGAUUUUUUUUCCAAACAGGAUCUUGCUUUGUCACCCAGGCUGGAGUGCAGUGGUGCAGUCACAGAUCACUGCAGCCUCAACCUCCUGCACCAAAGCAGUCCUCUUUCCUCAGCCUCCUGAGUAGCUGGGACUACAAGUGCACCACUGCACCCAGCUAAUUUUAUUUAUCUAUUUAUUUUGUAGGGACAGGCUUUUGCCAUGUUGCCCAGGCUGGUCUUGAACACUUGAGCUCAAGUGAUCUACCCACCUUGGCCUCCCAAAAUGCUGGGAUUACAGGCGUGAGCCACUGCUUCCAGCUAAAGUUGAAACAACUCAGUCAUGUCCUAUUGUCCCUCAACUCACUGAUCCAGGAUAGACACACCGAUUGGAAUUCCAUCAUCUCAGGCUGCCAUCUGGGUUAACCCAAAGUUUCUGUGAGGACCUUGUGAAUGAUAUGUAAUUUGUUCAUUUGUUUACUAAAUGUGUUUGUAUACCUACUAAGCAUGCUAGGUUCUGUGAGGAAUAUUCUAUAAUCUCUGCUGCAACUGGCAGAUAAAGCUGGCUUGGGAUAGCUACCUACCAGGCACUGUUUUAAGCACCUCAUAAUGCAUUAGCUCAUUUAAUCGUCACAAGAAUCCUAUCAAGUAGGCAUUACCAUGUUGUUACCCCCAUUUUACAGAAGAGAAAGCCGGAUCACAGAAAGAAUAAGUACCUUGCCGAGGCGCACAAGCUAGUGAGCAUCGGCACUGAAUAGGACCCUAACUAGUUUGGGCCCCAUGUCUGUGCUUUUAACCAUCACACCAAACCAAGCUUGUGGAACACAGAUCAAAGCUUUGGGAGAACAGAACAUACGAUUGGGAAGUCUUGGUUCAGAAGAUAAAACGCUAAAUGUGAGAAUGUUAUGAUAAAGAGUCCUGGUGGACAUUACCUGGGACAGCUCGGGACUGACGGUGACAACAUUUAUUGAGCAUCUGCUAUGUCCCAGGCCCACACAAGACUCUAUGUAGAUGAUCUCAUUUAAUCCUCAAAACAACCCUAUGAACAAGGUACUCUAAUUAUUCCCAUUUAACAGAUGAGAAAGCUGAGACCUAGGAAUGUUAAGUAAUUUGUGAGACCUGGCAAAAGAAGGGAUGAAGACCUCUGAGGCAAAGUAUAUUCAUUUCAUGAUGUUUUUUGGAUAAUGGCCCUAGUUACAGGUGAUGUAGUCUUUAUUAAUCACAGUUCCAACACCUUUGUAAGCAGUUUACAGUGUUGACUUACUGGAUCACAGCAGUGAUGGGCUUAUCUUCGAGCCUUGUUCAUACAGCAAGCAGACAGUUUUUCUUAAAGGUGCUGUCAUCCAAAUUUUAUAUAAUACUGAGAAAAUCUUCAUAUUAAAGAAUAUUUUUAUUUGACUGGUAUAUUAUUCUGGGUUCUCUAGAGAAAUAGAACUAAUAGGUGAUAUAGGGAGAUAGAUUUAUUAUAAGGUAUUGGCUUAUGCCAUCACGGAGGCUAGGAAGUCCUACCAUCUGCUGUCUGGAAGUUAGGCACCUAGGAGAGCUGGUGGUGAAGUUGGAAGGCCCUAGAACCAGAGAGUUGAUGGUGUAAGUCCCCAUCCAAGUCCCAAAGGCCAGAAAUUCCCAAACCAGGAGCACUGAUGGAUGAGUGGUGAAGAUGUAUGUCCCAGCUCACAUAGACAGAACAAAUUCACCCUUCUUCUGCCUCGAGUGACUGGAAGG